GAUCACCCGCUGAACUUAAGCAUAUCAAUAAGCGGAGGA
rnacentral:rRNA from 1 species